GGAAGUACACAGGUCACUGGUGGACCUCCUGGACUUCAAAUCCAGUGUGGGGCGUGAGGAACGUCCCGGGUGGGUUCGAUUCCCAUGUACUUCCGCCA
rnacentral:tRNA from 1 species